rnacentral:tRNA from 1 species
AUUCACAUAUUUUAUAUAGAAUAUAAUAUUGAAGAUAUUAUGGAGAUUAAGAAAUAUUUCUGUGGAUA